AUCAACUGAAUCAUCAGUUGCUAAUGGGGAUCUUAAUAAAUGAAAUGAAAUUAAAGGGAUUUGUCCAAACGCCGAUGUCGCACAUAUCGGGAAUGAAGAAAAUACAGCUGUUAACUGUGUUACUCAUCUCGUGAGCAAAAUAUACAAAAUAGGCACCUGAGCAAAUCAUUUUCUGAAAAUUACACCACAUGUUUAGACCGUGCGUUUUUAAUGGCGUUAAGUUUAUGUAGCACUAAUAUAGCUCUGUCCCAUUUAGAAAUCAUUUGACUCUGUAUAAGAUAAUACACUGCUUCAGAUCUGUAAAAUCCACAUUUUGAGGAACAGUGAUUUGAAUUUCCCUUAUUUACGUAAAAGUCUUGAUAUUCAUUAGGUGUAUCUAAAAUAUAUAUACAG